AGUGAACGCUGGCGGUAGGCCUAACACAUGCAAGUCGAACGGCAGCACAGUAAGAGCUUGCUCUUACGGGUGGCGAGUGGCGGACGGGUGAGGAAUACAUCGGAAUCUACUUUUUCGUGGGGGAUAACGCAGGGAAACUUACGCUAAUACCGCAUACGACCUACGGGUGAAAGCAGGCGUUCUUCGGACCUUGCGCGAUUGAAUGAGCCGAUGUCGGAUUAGCUAGUUGGCGGGGUAAAGGCCCACCAAGGCGACGAUCCGUAGCUGGUCUGAGAGGAUGAUCAGCCAGACUGGAACUGAGACACGGUACAGACUCCUACGGGAGGCAGCAGUGGGGAAUAUUGGACAAUGGGCGCAAGCCUGAUCCAGCAAUACCGCGUGAGUGAAGAAGGCCUUCGGGUUGUAAAGCCCUUUUGUUGGGAAGGAAAAGCAGCAGGUUAAUACCCCGCUGUUCUGACGGUACCCAAAGAAUAAGCACCGGCUAACUUCGUG
rnacentral:rRNA from 1 species